rnacentral:lncRNA from 1 species
UUUUUUUAUUAUUUUCUUUUUUUUUUUUUUGUCUUUAGCAUUUUUAGGGUCCUACCCAUGGCAUAUGGAGGUUCCCAGGCUAGGGGGCCAAUCAGAGCUGUAGCCACUGGUGUACACCACAGCCACAGCAAGGCAGGAUCUGAGCCACAUCUGCAGCCUACACCACAGCUCGUGGCAAUGUCAGAUCCAUAAGACCCCGAUCAAGGUCAGGGAUCAAAUCUGAGUCCCCACGGAUACUAGUCGAGUUUAACAACUGCUGAGCCGUGAUGGGAAUUCCUUAUUUUUAUGUUAUUUAUUUUUUAUGGCCACACAUAGCAUGUGGAAGGUCCUGGGCUAGAGGACUAUUGGAGCUGCAGCUGUCAGCCCACCCGCAGCCACAGCAACAUGGGAGCCAAGCCGCACCUGUGACCUACACCACAGCUUGUGGCAGUGUCAGAUCCAUAAGACACUGAUCAAGGCCAGGGAUUGUAUCCACCUCCUCACAGACACUAUUGCAGGUUCUUAACCCUCUGAGCCACAAUGGGAACCUCUUCAGACACUUUCUUGCUCUCAAUCCAAGCACAGAGGCGGAAAGUGCCUGGUGCUCUGGCUAACCUGCACGAUUCCCUCAGCACACACACACCAAUCCCGAAGUCUGCACCAGGCCACAGAUGUGGCCUCUCUGCUCACUCCCCAGGUUGUGACUGCCAGCCUGCAUCAAGACUAGCUAAAGCUAGGUCCAGGCUGCAGCUCUAGCCCCCUUGGCUCCUGCCACAUCCACCAACGCUGCAGCUACCAUAAUGCCACAGGAGAAGCCGUGGCUCACAUGAGGCUCUGACCCUAGCUCCUCUGUCUAUAGCCCUAACACCACCAAGGUGGUAGCUCCCAACUCACUACUCUGGAAGAAGUCAUAGCCCUGGCUCUUUUCAGAUCUAGAGCUCCUACUAAGCCACUGAGCACAUACAGACUGCAAAAGUACACUUCCCAAGAAGCACACACUUUCAAAAGAUAGGUAAGUAUUGUAACUAAUUUCAUACACAAGCAGUGAAAGUAAAACAACUUGAGAAUACAGAGGAACAGUGUUCCCAAUGAAAGGAUGAGAUAAGACCUCAGGAAAAAACCUAAUAGAAUAGAUACAAAUAAUUUGUCUGAUAAAGAGUUCAAAUCAAUAGCUGUAAGAAAGAUCACUGAUCUUGACAAAAAUAGAGGAACAUAGUAUGAAUUUCAACAAAGAAUUAGAAAAUAUUAAAAGAACUGAGGAGAGCUGAAGAC